AUGGCCCCUUGAGGCGUUGCAGCCCAGCCGAUGUGUUCAACUGUGUCACAGGGAGGCAGACAGACGGUGGUAGUCUGCACUGAGACUCACUCUGAGAGCUCGGAGUGGUUCUCACCACAGAUC